CCUACUGUUAUUUACAUGUAGGCCAUUAGGUUAAAGGCAUUUUUACGGAGAAUUAUAAGCCGUUAUCGAAGAAACCGGUAUAUGAAAGUGUUAUUUCCAUAUCGAUAAAGCAGUAAAUAAACAGACGGUGGACAUUGUUCAUAGAUAGGUUUGCAGGAAUCGAGUACUCGAGAGCCAUGGGAGCAGACGUGUCAAGCAGACAGGAAAUGGUAAUUUAUGAAGAAAGGGAAAGGCAAAAAGAUUUAGAAUGUGAAUACCGUAAAGGCCAUGCAGAUGGGUUUCGCGCUGCAGUUAGGUGUGCAGUAAAUCUGGCUAUUUUUUUAUUUGUGGUUUUGGCUCUGGUGUUUUUCUAUUUUUGGGAACAACAAAAACAGUUAUAUCACCUUUUCCUAACAAUGAUUUUGAGGAAUUAGUACUGGGCUUCACUCUACUAAUGUCUACUAAAUUGGAUGAUUAGGAACAGUUCAGCCAAGCAAGAUAUAUUGCUUAUUUUUUUUAAUGAUAAUAAACACUCUAUU